rnacentral:rRNA from 1 species
CAGCAGCCGCGGUAAUACCGGCGGCCCGAGUGGCGGUCACUAUUAUUGGGCUUAAAGCGUCCGUAGCCGGGUUGGGAAAUCCUCCGGGAAAUCUGGCCGCUUAACGGUCAGAAUGCCGGAGGAUACUCCCAGCCUAGGGAGCGGGAGAGGCCGAGGGUAUUCCCGGAGUAGGGGUGAAAUCCUAUAAUCCCGGGAGGACCACCUGUGGCGAAGGCGCUCGGCUGGAACGCGUCCGACGGUGAGGGACGAAGGCCAGGGGAGCAAACCGGAUUAGAUACCCGGGUAGUCCUGGCUGUAAACGAUGCGGACUUUGUGUCGGACAAGCUAUGAGCUUGUCCGGUGCCGGAGGGAAACCGUUAAGUCCGCCGCCUGGGGAGUACGGCCGCAAGGCUGAAACUUAAAGGAAUUGGCGGG